rnacentral:rRNA from 1 species
UUUCCAUUGCGGAGGAAAAGAAACCAACAGGGAUUACCUCAGUAACGGCGAGUGAAGCGGUAACAGCUCAAAUUUGAAAUCUGGCUCUUUUAGGGUCCGAGUUGUAAUUUGUAGAAGAUGCUUUGGGCAUUGCUCCGGUCUAAGUUCCUUGGAACAGGACGUCAUAGAGGGUGAGAAUCCCGUAUGUGACUGGUGGCAUUUGUCCGUGUAAAGCUCUUUCGACGAGUCGAGUUGUUUGGGAAUGCAGCUCAAAAUGGGUGGUAUAUUUCAUCUAAAGCUAAAUAUUGGCCAGAGACCGAUAGCGCACAAGUAGAGUGAUCGAAAGAUGAAAAGCACUUUGGAAAGAGAGUUAAACAGUACGUGAAAUUGUUGAAAGGGAAGCGCUUGCAACCAGACUUGCAGGUCGUUGAUCAUCCGGGGUUCUCCCCGGUGCACUCGGCGGCUUUCAGGCCAGCAUCGGUUUGAGUGGUGGGAUAAAGGCCUUGGGAAUGUGGCUCCUCUCGGGGAGUGUUAUAGCCCAAGGUGCAAUGCCGCCUAUUCGGACCGAGGACCGCGCUCGGCUAGGUGGAUAGCGACAUUCAAAACGGAUUUG